rnacentral:rRNA from 1 species
AACGUAGGAGACGAACGUUAUCCGGAGUUACUGGGCGUAAAGGGCGUGUAGGCGGCUUGGUAGGUCCGCUGUGAAAACUCGAGGCUCAACCUCGAGAUGUCGGCGGAAACCACUUGGCUAGAGUCCGGAAGAGGAGAGUGGAAUUCCUGGUGUAGCGGUGAAAUGCGCAGAUAUCAGGAAGAACACCAAUGGCGAAAGCAGCUUUCUGGGACGGUACUGACGCUGAGACGCGAAAGCGUGGGGAGCGAACAGG